rnacentral:pre_miRNA from 1 species
AGAGGUAGUAUGUAAUACUGCAAUGCCCCGAUGGGAUUCAUUUGCAUAUUCACACUGCCUCCCC